GAGAUGGGACGUCCUUACUAAUGAACUUUCGGUGAACACUGGAAAAUAACCUGUGAUUAGUUGUACUACUAGAAAACAAAUAGCAGUCAUUGUCCUUGGUGCAAUUCUAAUUUUUCAAGCAAAUGAAUGAACAAUAAUAUAAAAGAGCAAAAUUAUGUUUUUAAAAAGAUAUUAAAAAAAGUGUAUAUAACAGCCUUUAUAGAGCGCAGUGUACUUGCUGUAUAUAGUGGCCAAAUGUGUUCAUGCAUACAAAAUCCUGCUUUUCUUUGCAAAAGCGUCGCCCAAUGGAGCGCGACAAAGACUUGAUGAGCCUCACGAGUCAAACACAGUUCAGUGGCGUCACACACUACCGAAAAGUAAACCAGCCGUUUUGAAAUAGUGUAUUUGUCGUGUAAAAAUACAAUAUUUAGUUAGUUCCUUUUGAAGUUCUUUGCUUCAGAUUGCAAUACUAUUAACAUGCCGAGCUUAAAUGUGGCUUUGGUCAGAUCUUCUCAAAAAUACAGUAUAUGGACAGGUAUUUAGACAGCUUGUCUUAAAGGCAACCAUAUUCACCUUUCUGUUGCCGUCAGUGUAAACUUGCUUGAAUCGAGAGAUGCCUCGUGGUCAGCUUCAGGGAAAAGCUAAGUAAAUAACACUUGAGAACACAGGACUCUGAUGUGGGCUUGUCAAGAGCCUCUUUAGGGUGGUGUGGUUUUUCAGUACAAGUUAUUUUUGCUGUACAUAACCUGACGCAUGAUUUAUCCUCCAUUCCCCUCUGAAAUCGACAUACACAGACAUUCGUGAAUCCGCCGUAUGUCUCCCAUUGAGGAACUAAACAGAAAUAACGUUCACAGCUGACAAAAAAGAAAUCUCACACUCAUCUCCACCAAACUCAAGAGUAGAGACGUGACAUUUACUUCUGAAGGGUUUGGCCAUUCUUUUUAUCUUUCAGUUGGAUUUGAGUUGAUUUUAAUGUACUUGCUUGCUAAGCAGAGUUUCUCGUCUGUAAAUGUGAGCUUUCAGAGCGCUGUGACAACGUUUAAUGACUUCAAUAAACCAGAA
ensembl:lncRNA